GGACAGGUGCUGCAUGGCUGUCGUCAGCUCGUGUCGUGAGAUGUUGGUUAAGUCCCGCAACGAGCGCAACCCUCGCCUUUAGUUGCCAGCAUUCAGUUGGGCACUCUAGAGGGACUGCCGGUGUCAAACCGGAGGAAGGUGGGGAUGACGUCAAGUCCUCAUGGCCUUUAUGUCUAGGGCUACACACGUACUACAAUGGCCGGUACAAAGGGCAGCCACUCAGCGAUGAGGCGCUAAUCCCAUAAAGCCGGUCUCAGUCCGGAUCGCAGUCUGCAACUCGACUGCGUGAAGUUGGAAUCGCUAGUAAUCGUAGAUCAGCAUGCUACGGUGAAUACGUUCCCGGGCCUU
rnacentral:rRNA from 1 species